ensembl:snoRNA
AUCUUUUUUUGGUUCAUAAGUGUGAUGAUUGGGAAUUUACUCCACUGCGUGAUGUGUGCCGCCCAUUAAACCUUGUUACGAUGUAGGCACAUUACCCAUUAAAAA